CCACACGAGAACGGGCUCUCCUCUCUCUCCCUCGCCUCCCGAUCCCAGCCGCCAGGAGCCCCACCCCACGCGGCGGUCGAUCCGGAGGAGCUCGCGGCCAGGUUGGCGGUCGGGGGCCCCGGCGGCGUCGGCGGACCAAGAGGAGGAGGAGGACGCGGGCCUAGGCGGACCGGGAGGAGGAGGAGGACGCGGGGAAGGGGAGGAGGAGGAUGCGGGCCGAGGCAGACCGGGAGGAGGAGGAGGACGCGGGCCUGGGCGCCGUGCCGGUGGUCGUCGCGGUGCUAGCCAAGCCCGGCGCGUCACCGGUCGCGCUCGUCCAUGCGGUGGCCGCGGCGGGGAGCUUUGCUUGCGGCAUAGAGGAUGGCGCGUGGGCCGUGCUUGCUGCUGGCGCCGUGGGGCACCUUACGCGGCUCCCCGCCCACCCGCACGGCAAGGUCUGCUUCCUUCACUUGCUUAUUUCCUUCAUUCUGUAUGCCUGCUCGGUUUGGGGGCUCCAAAACCCUAUCAGGUUGAAAAUUGAACUAUAGAUGAAAAAGAGACAAUGCUUACUUAAUGAAUGUUUUGUUUGGGAAUUAGUCUGUACAUUGGCCACAACCGGAUCCACAGGGAAGAGGUGCUCGAGAUGGAGGAGGACAUCCAGAUUGAGGUGCGAGGUCGAUACCAACGCGGUCCUGGGAGGCGUGCACGAGAUCGAAGGCAGGGAGCUCCAGAAGGCAGACGGCGACAUCGCCUCACUCUCUAAAUUUACACUUAUCUAGAAUCCAGUGCUUCAUGACCAUGGCAAUAUUGGCUUGACAAAAACGAUAUAUAAAGUAGUAUCUAUCUUCUUUUCAGUUGUAUGAAUUUGGAACUGAGUUCUAAUGGCAUACAGUUGUAUGAAUUUGGAACUGAGUUCUAAUGGCAUACAGUUGUAUGACGUGCUUUGAUUAUGCUCAAAACUGUUCAUUCCAAUGCUUGAUCGGAGUGCAGAUUAUAUAUCAACAACCAGGAACUACCAUACAAUCUUCAUAUCACACAUUCCACCUAUGAGUAUGAAGAUCCGUGACAAGGCAAGAGCAAUCAUGAGGCCUUAUAUGCUUAUCUAUCUCAUCCAUUGAUGAUCUCUUUCAAGGAACAGAAGGACUUCUUGUUCAUUUAGAGAGGAUCAAUCUUUUGAUUUUGGUACUUAAUAAACUAAAUCUUGAGCAUUGGAGGAGGUAGCCCCUAGACUGGUGAAGAGGCAAAUGGGGACACGAGGAGGUUCAUGGUGGUUCUAGGCUCAUCUCUUUGGUGAGCAGCAGUGCGCUACGUUGGACAGUUACCAAGGCUGGACGGAGGUGUGCCUGUGCGGCCGGACGGUGUCGUCCUGGUUGAGCAGAUCACCGUACCAAGGCUGCCUGCCGGACUCCAAUUCCCUACCGCUGUCAAGCUCUAGAUCAAGCUCCACAUGGACCUGUUUAUCCGUGCGAUACUAUGUUUCCUCUCGUGGCCGUCUGUUCCGCUUGGCGUUUCGUCUGGAUCUGAGAGGAGAAGGCCUCAAGCAGGGAGAUGAGGAGGUUCAUGGAACCAUGGAGGUUUUCAGAUGAGAUUAGUUGAAAGAAAAGGGUAAUUUCCCAUGCUGCCAUGCGAGAGUCAGAGGUGGGUGAGUUCCCUGAUCCCCGGCUGUAGCAACAUUGGCCACCACUCUAUGCGCAUCUGUGCCGCCAAAAUCAGAUUUCAUGUAGGUGUAUCAAGCAGAUUGUGAAGAAAAUGUACCUGAAGAUGGUUCCUCAAUAUGAGAAUCCGAUUAACAUUGUCUUCAAGAAUUAAGGUACAGAUGGACAGGCGUCAUGUUCAGCAAUUUGACACACACGGUGGAGAUUUAAUGGACUAACUACUUUUUUUAGAGGAAGAAGUGGGCACAAGUAGACUGGAAAAACACAAAACAGCGGGAGAUGUCAUGUUCAGCAGCGACAACACCAUUGCUCUUCAUGUUUUAAGUUAAAGCUGUAUUACUUCAGAAUGAUUAGUCAAAGAUCGGUGAUUGUUAGAGGUCUGAAGUUAAUGUGAGAGGAAGGAGCAUGAGUGGUCUUUUCAAUACAGUAUUUUUUCCUUACUGGCAUAGGUUGUCAAGGAUUGUUCUAUCCGUCUCAGAGAAAUGUGUUCAAAGUGAAUUCUUCUCAGGACUGAGACUUAUUUUACAGUAAUAACUUACAUAAGCCCUUUGGUUGAUCCGUUCAAUGGCUGCAAUCUAGAAGCUUUAUGAGA